rnacentral:rRNA from 1 species
AGCGAACGCUGGCGGCAGGCCUAACACAUGCAAGUCGAACGAACCUUUCGGGGUUAGUGGCGGACGGGUGAGUAACACGUGGGAACGUGCCUUUAGGUUCGGAAUAACUCAGGGAAACUUGUGCUAAUACCGAAUGUGCCCUUCGGGGGAAAGAUUUAUCGCCUUUAGAGCGGCCCGCGUCUGAUUAGCUAGUUGGUUGAGGUAAUGGCUCACCAAGGCGACGAUCAGUAGCUGGUCUGAGAGGAUGAUCAGCCACAUUGGGACUGAGACACGGCCCAAACUCCUACGGGAGGCAGCAGUGGGGGAUCUUGCGCAAUGGGCGAAAGGCUGACGCAGCCAUGCCGCGUGAAUGAUGAAGGUCUUAGGAUUGUAAAAUUCUUUCAACGGGGACGAUAAUGACGGUACCCGGAGAAGAAGCCCCGGCUAACUUCGUG